AUAAACAUCCACUCACAAAUUUGGCCUAAGCCUGAUGUCGAUCUGGGGCCUCGUCUGCUCGAGCCUCCUCACGUCCUGUUCCAAAUAUAAUAUUAAUUUCCCAACCAAUAAUCCAAUAUUUAAUCAAAAUAGGCAAAAUUACCCGAGAGCCAUAAAUACGCUCAUCAUUGCCUAACUUCGAUAUUCUUAAAUCGGAACGAUCCGAACUUAAAUAUCAUACUCAACAGUCGUAAAUACAACCUCUCCAAAAUGCGACUUAAAUCCUACGGCCGGAUUCUACAUUAAUUUACCGCCAAAAAUACUAAAUUUCGGAAAUUCACAAACCUAUCCAAAUCUCAUCCAAAAAUUCCAUAAAUCACAUCAAUAUACUCCUCUUAAUAUUCCACACUUAAAACCCUAAAAAUCUCCUAACCGGCGGCGGCUCCGCCGGCAGCGGCGGCCGGAGGCUAAUUCCGGCGACCUCCAAAACCUAUGAAAUUUUGACAGAAUAAUCCUCUCAUCAAGCUCUACAACUUUCAUAACUAGCACAAACACCAAUUCCAAGCCUAACUAGGGCAAUCGACUAAAAACAUCAAAAACGCCAUAAAACUUCCACCUCAAAUUUCUCCUUACCUAGCUCAAGAGGGAGUGAGUCCUUUUAGGGCAAGGCUGCUGGGUUGGAGGGCUACAAAACCAU
rnacentral:lncRNA from 1 species